UGGGGAAUAUUGGACAAUGGGCGAAAGCCUGAUCCAGCCAUGCCGCGGGUGUGAAGAAGGUCUUCGGCUUGUAAAGCACUUUAAGUUGGGAGGAAGGGCAGUAAGCGAAUACCUUGCUGUUUUGACGUUACCGACAGAAUAAGCACCGGCUAACUCUGUGCCAGCAGCCGCGGUAAUACAGAGGGUGCAAGCGUUAAUCGGAAUUACUGGGCGUAAAGCGCGCGUAGGUGGUUCGUUAAGUUGAAUGUGAAAGCCCCGGGCUCAACCUGGGAACUGCAUCCAAAACUGGCGAGCUAGAGUAGGGCAGAGGGUGGUGGAAUUUCCUGUGUAGCGGUGAAAUGCGUAGAUAUAGGAAGGAACACCAGUGGCGAAGGCGACCACCUGGGCUCAUACUGACACUGAGGUGCGAAAGCGUGGGGAGCAAACAGG
rnacentral:rRNA from 1 species